rnacentral:lncRNA from 1 species
GUUCUCCAGAACUGGUCAGAACCUGCUGAAUACCACCUCUGCUCCUCGGGGACCUCUUUCACCACUGCUGCCAGCCUUCACAAUCUCCGAAGGCAGCAUCCCACUCCCUGAUAGCCCUGGCCCCAUCCCUGCAUCACACGCAGGCCCCUCAUCUGAGUCCUCACUGUCCAAGACCUCAGCCGUCCGCACCUGCUGCCAGCGAACCACAACACAAUCCCAAUGGGGUGAGAUGGUCCUUCAAUGCUUUCAGCCUUGCAGGAGUCUAUUAAUGUAACCUUAGAACAGAGGUCUCCAAACUUGGCAACUUUAAGACUCGUGGACAGCAUAGCUGGCUGGAGAAUUCUGGGAGUUGAAGUCCACAAGUCUUAAAGUUGCCAAGUUUGGGGACCCUUGCCUUAGAAUGAAGAGAGAGCUAGCAGGCCUGGUUGGGCUUCUUGGCUUCUUGUCUAUAUCGCCUCGCAGGGCUUACCCCGUGUGUAACACCCACAACUUCCAGUUCCUCCCAUCACACCCACAAUUGUCACCGACUUAGAAGUCCUUGUAAGCUGUUAAAACAUCCCACUGAAUUAACUUUCUGAAAUUCACAGAUCUUGUUGUCGGGCCGCCCGAACUCUCUAUGGAAGAAAUCACCACUGCUGUGAUGAGCCUGGACUGCAAUACAAUUAUUUUGACCACAGCCGUAUAGCGCCAAAUUAUCAAAAAGGAGCCUGGCCUCAGUUUACCAAACCAAACAGAAAACUCUUCCAGAAGCUCAUCCUUUUCCUUCAAGAAGUCCAUCCUUUUCCUUCUGAGGACAUCAAGAUGGCAGCAUUUCCCUCAAAACCAAUUCCUCGCUUCAUCUUUUUUGUCAGCACAAGCCCUUACUGGAUGUGGUGUCCAUCUCCCUCAACAUUGUCACACUGACUGCUUCUCUUCGCUUUGCAUCCUCUGAAUAACCUAGAUCUGAAUGAAAUUUUGUAAAAUAAAAU